UGAGCUGGUCCGUCUUGGGUCCGUCCUCUUGUCCCCUUCGCCCUCUGCUCUCGCCCCUUCCUCUUUCAUGUCGAUGUGAUGAGUUGUUGUCCAGCGCGGGUUGGUCCAUUCAUCAGUUUAUUGUUUUGUUUGUCAUUGGUUUGCUGCUGGCCGGCGGGCCGCAUGCGUCAUGUGCUGAUUUUAUUGGGGUUAAAUUGGCCAUGUCUGAAAUCUGAAAUGGAAUUGCACGAUUUGACUAUUUUGCUUGACUGUUUCUAGUCUUGGUCUCCUGUUUGGAUAACUCAUCGGUACGACCAGUCUAAGCUUAGGUCACUUCGGUUUGCAUUUUUGUUGUUGAUGAAUACACAGUAACAGCAUGAGCAUCCUGCGAAUUAACCUGUGGUUGAGUUGGUUAGGUGGACAGUGAUAUCCCUAACCCACCAGGGUUCAAAUCCUGGUGCUCCCAUUAUUUCUGGAUUUAUUUCGGGAUUUCCGGCGAUACAUUUUUAGUGGGAAGUUGACCAACAUGACAUGCCAUCAAAGAAUAAAGAAAAUCUAAAAUAAAUUUGUAAAAUACGAUCACUUAUGACAAGUCUAUAACUUGAACUCGGAUGAUUAGGUUCCACCACAAAAAAUUCUUACCAUUUAAGUUAAACUCAGUCGCUUUGUUUGCAUAUAAUUGAGAUGUACAAAAGCAAUUUUUUGAUAUAAAUUAUUUCGUCCAACCGAUGGGAAACGCGUGAACUUUCUUAUGCACGAGUAUCUUGGAAACUAUUGUAAUAGGGGCCGACCCUAUGAUGGGCAACGUCUUCUAAUAUCAUAUAUAUGCAUGUUCCCUAAAUAUAUACGCAUGUGCGUUGCGCUGCAAGAUUUUCUGCCAACUUGUAUAAUCUAACUACUCCAAAAUGUAUUAACUAUUUUCUAAGAGCAUGCAAGAGGAUUGUGUGCCAUUGUAUUAAGUGGGAGAGAACGGUUUAGUUACAAGAAACACUCAACUAGCCACAAACGGUCAUCGUAGCCAUCUAAUAGCAUGCUAAGGAAUAACUCGCUAAAUAAUUUUGUGUACAAUACCUCACCAAUAGCACGUUAAUAGUAGAUUUUAAGGACGGCACUUUUUUGCCACAAUGCGUUUUUCUUUCCACCGAGCUUUACACACAACCAACACCCCGGACUACUCUCUACACAUCCUAUCCACACGCACAAGCUUCCAAAGCGCAAAUUCUGCUUACGUCUAACUCCAAAUGUACGUCCCUGCGGAGGCAUUGUUGUCAAGCACUGUCUUGUUACAUUCUAGCCAGAUGAUGAGCAAGUUAAUCUCAGUAAAUUGGUUUUCUGGGUUAGUUGCGAAGAUGGUGUGCCACCAAUCACAUAAUGUGACGAGGUGUAAGUGCAUCUAGUGCCAACCCUAGUUGGUUUUGGAGUAUUGACGACAAACCUAGUUGAGGGACUAAUGUAUUUGUGAGAAUUGCAGGAUAACACAGGUAGAAGUCCCUCAUCGAUUCGGUUUUCCUACCAGAGAUGACCCCUAAAAAUGUAUGAAGACAUUGAUGUCAAAGGUGGUAUAUGAAGAUAUUCACAUUAAAGACUAUGACAAGAGAAGACACCGCAUGAAGCCUAUGGAGCUCGAAGACUUAGAUCUUUCGUAGUUCUUUUUCUUCUGUGUUGAGUCAUAGAAACCACCGUACUGUUAAGUGGGGUCCAAGAGAACCAGUCAGAAUGACUGAAAUGAUGCUUAAACAAAACAUAUGCCUUCGAGUGAAGACUAUGAGAGCGAAUCUUGUCCAGAGUCGGACAAGUCAGCUUUGCUUAUAGCCCAAGUAAAGUUGCCGUGUGAGUUUGAAAUCUGACCGUUGGAACAUGUGUCAGUUCCUUAGUGACCCAGGGUCAUUUCAGACAAAUCAGGUCGGGUUGCCUAGUGGCUAUAAAUAGCCCACCCCCUACAACCAUAAACGGUUGGCUGCUCAGAUUCAGAGUACGGCUUUUGUCGUUUGAGAGCAACCCACCUCGAAGCCUUCGAGAGAGAAUUCCUUGCGAGGAUAAAGCCCUAACCAUCCAGAGCCAAAGAGAAUUAGGCAUCACUUAAGUCUUCUUGUCUGUGUGAUCUGAAGACUUAUUACACUUGAGGACUGUGCAUCCUCCAGCCGGUUAGGCGUCGCGUUCUGAGCAUCCAAGAGACAUUGUGGAUCGCCGGUGAACGAAGUUUGUGAAGGUUUUGGAGUCUACCUUGAAGACUUACCAGAGUGAUUGGGCGAGGUCUAUGUGACCUUAGCUCAAGGGGAAUACGGUGAGGACUGGGUGUCCUGAGCUGCGUGUUCAGGACUGGGUGUCCGGGACUGUGUGUCCUUAGGUUUAAAUACCUAGCCGCCCUAACCAGACAUAUAGUUGUCACAGCAACUGGAACUGAUGGAACAAAUCAUUGUCUUCAACGAGUCACUAGUUUCAUCCUUCCCUUCUCCUUACUUACUGUUACUCCUUGUGAAGUUAUUGUAUGUCUGCACUAUCUUUUGUCUUCACUGAGUGACUAUGUGAUCUGUUUGGCUUCUUAAUAUCUUCCUACCUGAUCCUUACUACCUAGCUGCUAUUAGUCAUUGUGCUUUCACUUCAUUGAAUACAUGACUAUGGUUUAUCUAGUGUAGUCUACCUUCCGCUGCAUGGUAAUAGGUUUAUUUCUAUCGUUUGUCUUCGAAACUUUCAUAUUUUGAAGACUUUCAUAAAAUCGCCUAUUCACCCCCCUCUAGUCGAUAUAACGCACUUUCAAUUGGUAUCAGAGCAAGGUGCUCCCUUGUUCUGUGUGGUUCGGUUUAACCAUCUGAAGUUUUAGCUAUGUCGACUGCAGGGAUAAUUAAAGUCUCCGCUGUGUGCCCCGUCUUCGAUGAAACUGAAUAUCCCUACUGGAAGAAUAAGAUGCGCAUGCAUCUUGAAGCCAUUGACGUCGACCUAUGGUAUGUCGUCAAGAACGGCGUUCCCAAGGCUGGAGAAGGUGUCACUGCUGCUGAUGUCAAGAAGUUCGUUCAACUGGACUCUACUGUCAAGAAUAUCAUCUGUGGUCAUCUGACCAAAGUACAGUAUGGCCGUGUGAGUGCUUUGAAAACAUCUAAGUUGGUCUGGGACUGGCUCUCCAAGGUCAACGAAGGCGUCUCAACCCAGAGAGAUCAGAGAAUCAGUGUCAUUCGCAACCUCUUCAACCGCUUCAAGCGAAAUGACAAUGAGAAUGUCCAGCUCACGUUUGACCGACUCACUGACAUCACAAAUGAGCUUCAAGCCCUCGGCACCACUGAGAUCACCAAGCAUGAAGUCAUCAAGACACUACUGAGAUCACUUAACAGUUCGUUUGACAGCCUAGCCCUGAUGAUUUAAGAACGACCUGAUUUCAAGACACUCGAUCCGUCCGACAUACUUGAGAGGCUCAACACACAUGAGUUUCAGCUUUCUGAGAAAAGAGAUAUCUACGGUCCAAACUAUGGGCGAACUCGUGCCUUGAAGGCAAAAGCUGUCUCCUCAUCUGAAGAAGAAUCUGAUAGCAGUUCUGAUGAUCCUGAAGACAUUGGAAAGGAACUUGCUAUGCUUGUGAAGAAGUUCCAAAAAUUCACCAAGAAGAAAGGCUUCAGAAAGUCUUCACGAUCAAGCUCAAGGAAUGAUGAAGCUUCUGCUCAUGACUACAAGAAGAAAACAUGCCACAAGUGCAAGAAAACUGGCCACUUCAUCUCUGAGUGUCCGCAGUGGGACAAUGAGAACAGAAAGAAGAAGAAGAGCAAGUAAUAUGACUCUGACGACAAGAAGAAGAAGAAAUACUCAAAGUCCUCUUCCAAGUCUUCCUCAAAGUCUUCAUCACACAAGAAGAGCUCAUCUGGCAAGGCACGUGUGUUUGUCGGCAAGGAAAUGGAUUCAGAGGAGGAGUCCGCUUCUGAGGAGGCGGAGGUGGAGUCUGAGGAGGAGUCCGAUUCUGGCGUUGCAAGUCUGGCUACAGCAUACGUUCCCAAGUCCAUCUUCAACACUAAAGACAAUGACUUCACCAUCGACACCGAUGCAAAUGACAAGGACUACUCUACUCCUACCUACUGCUUCAUGGCACGCGGUGCCAAGGUAAACACACGCACUACUCACUAUCAAACAUCUAGUGAUGAUGACUCUGAUUGUGAUUCAAGACCCAGCUACAAAACACUUGCUAAAAUUGCAACUGAACAACAGAAAGCCAUGGAACAUAUUCAAAAACUGUUAGACAAAAGCGAUGAUCUGUUGGGCGCUGAAAUGACUCGGUCUGAGUCCUUAAUUGAAGACAUAAAAAAUCUUCAUGUUAAGUAUGAGGAACUUGAAAGUCGUCAUGAAACGCUCUCAACAACUCAUGAAAAGCUUUCCUAUGAUUAUCUUCAAAGGAAGCAAGAUCUUGAGAAAUUGAGAGCGGCUCAUGAAGAUCUUCAAAAGGAAAACGAGUCACUUCGCGCCGAACAGAUCAGUUCCGCUCAGGAAGGAUUUGAACCACCAUGUCCUAAAUGCAUUGAGCGUGAUAAUGCUACUUCUGUUGCUGAAUGUUCUACUGUUGCUACUGUUGCAAUUUCUUCAACUGUUGAUGUGGUAACUAACCCCUCUGCUGAGGAUACCACUGCUAUUGCUGAUGAGAAUGCUAGGUUGAAGACAUUGCUUGAAACAGGGAUGUACAAAAUUCUUAAAGGGCGUCAGACACUAUGUGAUGUCCUCAAAAGGCAGAUUCUGAACCGAAACCCGAGGAAAGAGGGUGUUGGGUUCAUAAGGAAAAUGAAUGUUGAUGGCUCUUACUGGAAACCCGAGCAGUAUCCCAAAACCACAUGGGUUGCUGCAAAGGAACCUUCAGCUGAUCCAUCCAAUCUAUCUGGCUUCACUUGUGCUAACCCCAUUGUCAUCGAUGAAUCCUUUGAUGCAAACUAUAAACUGUUUAAGAAUCAGAAUGGUGAAGUGUUUGCCAGGUACAUUGGUACUAACUGCAGGAAUGGACCGCCUAUGAAGAAGAUCUGGGUGCCCAAAAGGUGUUUGGAAAAUCUUCCUGUGAAUGUCAUCAUGACACCACAGAUGAAGAAGACAAACCCCAGACCACAGGCUUCAUACGGCCCAAAGGCUUCAUACAGACAGAGGACUCACCUGAGUCGCACUAACGCAAAUGUUUUGCAGGGAAACCAUACUCAGGCCUAUGAAUAUGAGCGCGGUUCAUCGAACCGCCAUGUUCAUAAGACCAAAACCUAUUCUGCUUAUUCUUAUGAGUAUUAUUGUCCGCCUGCAAGACUUUUUGCUAGGGCUCCAAAGCCAAAGUUUUCAGACGCUGCACUUAGACUUAUCGCUUCUAAGCCACCCUUGAAGAUGUGGGUGGUUAAGAAGGCUUAACUCUCUUUUGCAGGGAAAGGUCUCCAGCAGAAAACCAAAAUCUUCUGACGCUAUUGCUGGGGACCUUAAACAUCUUGUAGGCUGCAAGAUCAAAUGCCCGAAUGGUCUUACUAUGUACUUCGUUCCUGAAUUGCUUGCUACUCUCCCUAUCAGUCCUAAUCUGGAUCUAAGCUUUCAUAACCCACUGGUUCGUCAAAUGUUUUUGCUUCACAAUUCUCUUCGUGAAGCCUAUCCCCCUAACUGCACUAUAGGGUACGACACCAGCGUCUACAGAAUGGAUUAUUGAUAGUGGGUGUACAAAUCACAUGACUGGCAAAAGAAGCCUUCUUAUGGACUCAACCUUACGUCCAUCCGACAAGAGCCACAUCACAUUUGCUGACACUGGUAAAAGUAAGGUAUUGGGUCUAGGUAGAGUUGCAAUCUCAAAGGAUCAACACAUGGAUAAAGUCAUGCUUGUUGAAUCCCUUGGCUUCAACUUAAUGUCUGUCUCAAUGCUUUACGAUUUGAACAUGAUCGUAAUAUUUGGAAAAUAUCGUUGCCUUGUUCUAAUGGAAUCUGAAAAGUCUCUAGUAUUUGAAGGGUAUCGAAAAGAUGAUUUGUACGUGGUAGAUUUCUCAGCAGGACCACAGCUUGCCGUAUGUCUUCUAGCAAAAGCUUCAGAAUGCUGGCUCUGGCAUCGGAGGCUUGGGCAUGCUGGCAUGAGGAACCUCCACACCCUUGCAAAGAAGAAGCAUGUCAUAGGCAUCGAGGGCGUCAAGUUCAAGAAAGAUCACUUAUGCGGUGCCUGUGAAGCAGGAAAGAUGACGAGGGACAAACAUCCCUCGAAGACAAUCAUGACUACUACUCGACCCUUCGAACUGCUUCACAUGGAUCUUUUCGGUCCCACUCAUUACUCAACUCUUACUACUACUGCUUGUCUCUAUGGCUUUGUCAUUGUUGAUGAUUAUUCUAGAUAUACUUGGGUGCACAUAAUCCUUUACAAGACUGAAGUGCAGGAUGUCUUCAGACGCUUCGCCAAUUGAGCAAUGAACAACUAUGGCGCCAAGAUAAAGCACAUCAGAAGUGACAAUGGCACUGAAUUCAAGAACACUGGCCUUGAUACAUAUCUUGAUACCUUGGGCAUCACACAUGAAUUCUCAGCCCCGUACACGCCACAACAGAAUGGCGUCGUCAAAUGCAAGAACAGAACACUCAUUGAGAUGGCCAGAACGAUGCUAGAUGAAUACAAGACUCCAAGAAAAUUCUGGCCUGAAGCCAUUGAUACUGCAUGCCAUACAAUCAAUCGUGUUUAUCUUCACAAGCUUCUGAACAAGACAUCUUAUGAGCUUCUUACUAGCAAGAAGCCAAAUGUCAGUUACUUCAGAGUAUUUGGCGCCAGGUGCUGGAUCAAGGACCCACAUCACACUUCAAAGUUUGCACCAAAAGCACAUGAGGGUUUUAUGCUUGGAUAUGGAAAGGAUUCGCACUCCUACAGAGUCUUCAAUCUCUUUCAUUAUAAAGUGGUUGAAACAGUGGAUGUGCGGUUCGAUGAGACUAACGGUUCAUAAAGAGAGCACCUGCCAAAUGUGCUAGAUGAAGUUCCAUCCAGUGAAUCAAUCAAGCUAAUGGGAACUGGAGAAAUCAUACCUUCUGAAGCUCAUCCUGAAGAGGAACUUAUCAUCUCCGCACCAGACUGUAAGUGCAUCUAGUGCCACCCCUAGUUGGUUUUGGAGUAUUGACGACAAACCUAGUUGAGGGACUAAUGUGUUUGUGAGAAUUGCAGGAUAACACGGGUAGAAGUCCCUCAUUGAUUUAGUUUUACUACCAGAGACGACCCUUAAAAAUGUAUGAAGACAUUGAAGCCAAAGGUGAUAUAUGAAGAUGUUCACAUUGAAGACUAUGACAAAAGAAGACACGUUAUGAAGUGUAUGGAGCUCGAAGACUUAGAUCUUUCGUAGUUCUUUUUUCCUUUGUGUUGAGUCAUAGGAACCACCGUACUGUUAAGUGGGGUCCAGGAGAACCAGUCAGAAUGACUGAAGUGAUGCCUAAACCAAAAACCUAUGUCUUUGAGUGAAGACAGUGAGAGCGAAUCUUGUCCAGAGCCGGACAAGUCAGCUUUGCUUGUAGCCCAAGUAAAGUUGCCAUGAGAGUUUGAAAUCUGACCGUUGAGACACGUGUCAGUUCCUUAGUGACCCAGGGUCAUUUCGGACAAAUCAGGUCGGGUUGCCAAGUGGCUAUAAAUAUCCCACCCCCUACAACCAUAAACGGUUGGCUGCUCAGAUUUCAGUGCACGGCUUUUGUCGUUUGAGAGCAACCCACCUCGAAGCCUUUGAGAGAAAAUUCCUAGCGAGGAGAAAAGCCCUAACCAACCAGAGCCAGAGAACAUUGGGCAUCACUUAAGUCUUCUUGUCUGUGUGAUCUGAAGACUUAUUACACUUGAGGACUGUGAAUCCUCCAGACGGUUAGGCGUCGCGUUCAGAGCAUCCAAGAGACAUUGUGGAUUGCCAGUGAACGAAGUCUGUGAAGGUUUGGGAGUCUACCUUGAAGACUUACCAGAGUGAUUGGGCGAGGACUAUGUGACCUUAGCUCAAGGAGAAUACGGUGAGGACUUGGUGUCCUGAGCUGCGUGUUCAGGACUGGGUGUCCGGGACUGUGUGUCCUAAGGUUUAAAUACCUAGCCGCUCCAACCAGACAUACAAUUGUCACAACAACUGGAACUGGUCCAACACAUCAUUGUCUUCAACGAGUCACUGGUUUCAUCUUCACUUCCUUUUUCUUACUGUUACUCAUUGUGAAGCCAUUGCAUGCUUGCUCUAUCUUUUGUCUUCAUAACGUGAAUGUAUGAUCUGUUUGGCUUCAUAACUUCUUCCCACCUGAUCCUUAUUACACUACAGCUGUUUGUCAUUGCGCUUUCACUUUAUUGAAUACUUGACCAUGGCUGGCCUAGUGUAAUCUAACUUCCGCUGCAUAGUAAUAGGCAUAAUCUUCGCUGUUUGUCUUCAUAACUCCCACGUUUUGAAGACUUUCAUAAAAAUCGCCUAUUCACCCCCCUCUAGUCGAUAUAACGCACUUUCACAGACCAACCUGAAGACAAUGCUCAACCUAAAGACAAUCCCUCUAACAACGACAAUGAUCAGCAAGAGCAAAAUCUUCGCCCUGUACAUCCUCGUGUUGCCAAUGAAGUGCAGAUUGAGAGAAUAAUUGACAGCAUCAAUGCACCUGGUUCGCUCACUCGAUCAAGGGCAACUCAUCUAGCAAAUUUCUGUGGGCACUUCGCAUUCGUCUCAAUAACAGAACCCAAGAAAGUUGAAGAAGCCUUCAUGGAACCUGAAUGGAUUCAAGCUAUGCAAGAAGAGCUUCAACAGUUUGAGCUGAAUAAUGUAUGGGAACUGGUUAAGCGUCCUGAUCCUCGGAAGCACAACAUAAUAGGCACAAAAUGGAUAUACCACAACAAGCAAGAUGAGCAUGGUCAAGUUGUCAGAAACAAAGCUCGUCUCGUUGCUCAAGGAUAUACUCAAGUGGAAGGCAUUGACUUCGAUGAAACAUUUGCUCCUGUGGCUAGACUUGAAGCCAUACGCAUACUGCUGGCCUAUGCCAAUCAUCACAACAUACUUCUAUAUCAAAUGGAUGUAAAGAGCGCCUUUCUCAAUGGCAAGAUUGAAGAAGUGUAUGUUGCACAACCGCCUGGCUUUGAAGAUCCAAAACAUCCUGACAUGGUAUACAAGCUCAACAAGGCACUGUAUGGCCUCAAACAAGCCCCUCGGGCCUGGUAUGACACACUCAAAUACUUCCUGAAGAGCAAAGGCUUCAUACCUGGUUCCCUCGACCCCACUCUCUUCACGAAGACAUAUGAUGGUGAACUGUUUGUGUGCCAAAUAUAUGUGGAUGCCAUUAUCUUCGGCUGCACCAAUCAGAAGUACACUGAAGAGUUUGGAUAUAUGACGCAAGAGCAAUAUCAGAUGUCCAUGAUGGGAGAGCUGAAGUUCUUUCUCGGUCUUCAAAUACGACAGCAACGCAAUGGCAUCUUCAUAUCUCAAGAGAAGUACCUCAAAGAUUGUCUGAAGAAGUUCGGUAUGCAAAACUGCAAAGGCUUCACGACGCCAAUGCCAGCCAAGCAUCAUCUGGGUCCUGACGACAAUGGUAAAGAGUUCGAUCAAAAGGUAUACCGCUCCAUGAUUGGUUCUUUGCUUUAUCUAUGUGCAUCUAGGCCAGAUAUUAUACUUAGUGUUUGCAUGUGUGCUCGAUUUCAAGCGGCACCAAAGGAGUCGCAUCACUUAGCUGUGAAGCGAAUUCUUCGAUAUUUGGCUCACACCCCAACUCUAGGAUUAUGGUAUCCAAAGGGCUCAGAGUUUGAUCUGGUUGGAUUCUCGGAUGCUGAUUAUGCUGGUGACAAGGUGGAUCGCAAGUCUACAUCAGGCACAUGUCAUUUUCUGGGACGAUCACUUGUAUGUUGGUCUUCAAAGAAGCAGAACUGUGUAUCUCUCUCCACUGCUAAAUCUGAAUACAUUGCUGCUGGAUCUUGCCGCGCUCAGCUUCUGUGGAUGAAGCAAACCCUCAAGGACUAUGGCAUUCAUCUGAAGCAAGUGCCACUCUACUGCGACAACGAAAGCACCAUCAAGAUUGCCAACAACCCAGUUCAGCACUCGAAGACAAAGCACAUUGAAAUUCGUCAUCACUUUAUCAGAGAUCAUGUUGUGCAGGAAGAUAUUGAUAUCAUACAUGUCAACACUGAAGAGCAAUUGGCAGAUAUCUUCACCAAGCCCUUGGAUGAGAAGAGAUUUUGCAAGUUACGGUGUGAGCUAAAUAUCCUGGAAUCCUCAAAUGUCCUGUGAUCAGGCACACAUCCUAACACUUAUGCAUAUUGAUGACUUAGAUGUGCAACACACGAAGUAAAGUAUAUCUUCAAUCAAUGAAGACAUACAUUCUAAGUGUGAAUGCAUUAAUGUGGAAUUUGACUUCGGAGUGCCACGAUAAUUGUGCGUCGUGUCUGGGUCUACUACUUCCUAUACGGUGGGUAACGCCACCACCAAACGUUCUGUUUGAAGCGUGUUACUCAUGGCGUUACAUUUGCUAUGUCUUCACAUUUGAUUUGGCUUCAAUCUCAACAUGUCUUCAUGAUUAUCUUCACUAUGUUGAUUAUAUAUAUAUAUAUACUAGUGUUCUGUCCUCUACAGCAUUCACUUAUAGCUAUGUCUUCUUGUUGAAUCUUUUGAACUAAGUGAAUGUGAUCGGACCCUAACCUCUCUAUGCUUUCUAUCUCAAACUCUAUCUCUCCAAAUCAUAUGCAUUCUAUUGAAACUGUCGGAUGUCUUCUCUGCGUCCUUGUCAGUAGAAGAUACAGAGACAAACAUUAAGUCCGUUUUCAAUGCUCAUUCCUUCACAUGAAACCCGGAGAAGUGGGAACGACCACCCGACAAUCCAGGCAUGCGUGGGACGUGGAACAAACCCUAAUAUGCUGCAUGAUGGCCACAUGUUCCUCAGAUGCGAAUCGCCAGGGGCACCUGUGUAAUAACGCAGUGCCGCCCCUGUACCUAUAAAUACACACUUCACAGCGGUCAUUAUCUCUUCUUCCACUCUCGCACGAACCCUAGCGCCACCGCUAGCCCUCGACGACGCCGGCGACGAAGCGCUUCGCUACCGCAACCUCUCCGACGCCGUCUUCACGCCGACCGCGAACAUCAUCCUCUCCGCCGUCGCCGUAGGUGUCCUCCGUCGCCAAGUUAGGGCAUGGAAGAUCGAACUGACUCGGCCUCCUCUUCCACUCCGUCUAGCAGUUCCUAGUGUGGUAAAUAAAACUUCCUUUUUACGACCCCUUUGAUCCUAUGGCUUUGUCACUUUCUACCACAAGUAGUUUCUAUUCACACAAGUUGGAUCUCUUUCAUACUGCAUCUCAUAACAUGCCUAGUAUAUUCACUUAUGCGUCACAAAGUAGUUAGAUUCCUCACUUGUACUGAUCUCUGGAUUCGUACAAAUCUGGAGCCAACUCCUUAUCUAUAAGUGAAUGUCUUCGCACGAUGAGGUCAAUGUCUUCUAAACUGAUUUAUCUUCAAAAUCUUCUGAGAAUGCAUAUGACCUCUUCCCCUUCCCUCGCACCUUAAUGCUGUCACAGGUACAUGUCUGUGGGAGAAUCCCUUGGUUCUCAUAGUCUGCAUUCAUUUGCAGAAUUCUUACAGCAUCAUAUAAAUUCUCCCGAAGCCAGUUCCUGUUUGUCCAGCAAGCGAAAGCCUUUAAACGUAUUGAAGCCUUUCAGUAUAAAGUUCAUGGCUUCAGAGAAAUCAGCAAGGAAGGGUGGCAGAAAGCGUCGUGGAGAAACAUCCAGAGAUCUGUCGGAUCACCUCUCAGAACUGUACAAAAUAGAUCUUGAAGAGGAUUACAAUCAGCGCAAAACACGAAUCCAAUGGAUUCGACGCUAUUGGGAAGAACGGUGGUUCAAGUACAGAUUUGUGACAAAGGAAUAUGCUGAAAAGAAUGCCAUCAAGCGACCAUGGGGAGACAUCCUCUACAAAAAUCUUCAACCCAGGACCAGAGAUGAAGCCAUUGAACAAGGCUUCUAUCCCUGCAUGGUCCGUGGACCACAGCCUGCGGAUGCUGACCCCUCAUCACUGCUAUGGUGUCGUGACGACAUUCUGUUCAAGCGCAACUUUCAGUUUGCCCAGAACUCAGCGAAGCAGAACAAGAAGACAUUGGGACUAGACUUCAACCCUGGUCCUUCUGCUCCAAGGGCUGAUGGCACACGGGAUGCAGAACCCAAUGUCGUCGGUCCUUUCUACAACCUUGAAGGUCUCAUCACCCAUAUCUUGGUUUAAGGGACAGCCGUGAAUGAGCCUGCAGCUGACGCUGAAUCAGAUGAAGCGCCUGCAGCGCCGAAGCCAAAGAAGUUGAAGAAGCCUAAAGCUUCAAAGCCUGCCCCUUCACCAAAAAUCUCACGGGCGAAGCCACUGGCAACUGCACCUCCUGAAGACAGUGUGCAGUCUGAAGAUUUGUCACGCAUCUCCAAGCCCCAGAAGGUCAAGAUGCCUCUGCCACACACCGGCCAAGAGCUAACUGCUGCUGCCAUUCUGCGCAAUGAUGCCAUUGAUCUAUCAAGUGAUGAAGAUCUUGUAGAUGACGCUCUUGAGCAACUCAUCAAGAGCAAAGAAGAAGCAGAAAUCUUCAAUGAUCUACCGCUCUUUGAUGUAACAAUCAUCCACAACUUCAUUGAUGAGUGGUUUGACACGCCAAACAUCAGCUUCGAAGAUCUCCAACUACCCAUUGACCUUAGUGUCGCCUUCCAUGGCGCCAUUGCUUCAGAGUUAGCCAUCGCCCAGCGCAUUGUUGAACUGAAGCAGAAGAUUGACUUUGAGAAAUCUCAGUCCAAGAAGCAUAUGGCCAAGCUCGGCGUGAAAGACGUGAAGAACUUCAAGAUUAUACUGCACGAGCUCAAGGAAGCCUUUCUAAAAAACGUGCAGAAGCUCAGGGUUCUCGUGAGCGCAUGAAGGUCCUGGCUGAUAGGUGUGUGCAAGCCUACAAUGAGGCUGAGAAGCGCAAGGCCCUAGGGCGUCUUGGCAUCGACCCCAGGAUGGCUGCCAAGAAGAAGAAGAAGCCCUCUAUGGCUGAACCCGGAGCACCAAGGCAGGAAGCAGAUCCCCUUGUCUUCCCAACUAGCAUGACUGGCCCGAAGCCAAAGGCCAGGUCAACCGCUUCAGAACUGAAGAAGACCAAGACUGCUGAGGCUGGAGCAAGGAAGAGGAAACAUCCUGAAGCCUCUGCUACUGCCCCCUCCAAGAAGAAAAGAAAGACCAAGAAGGAACGGGCUGCUCCCACAGAGCCCUUGAUUGUUGAACCCAUUUCCAUGGUUCACCCUGACGCUGAUCCACAAAAACGUCAACUGACUAUCCAUGAGCCUGCUUUCACAGAGGCUCAUGAAGCUGAAGACUUUCCAGCAGCUGAUCCCAUCGCUGCUGAAGACAUUGGUCCCCAUGACCAUGUUGAAGAUGAUGCAGUCCUUCCUCAGCUAGAGCACCAAUAGGUAUCAUCGCCUGUGCUAACACACAACGAACUCAUCAGCAUUGGUCGUCCACUGACGCCAAUUGCACAGGAUGCUUCAUGGGCUGAUCGCCCACAAGAGGAAGAAGACUUUGAGGCCCAGCCAACACCAACUCCACAGGCGUCGCCCGCGCUGCGCAGGCUUCACAAAGGGCCAAGGCCUCAAGUCUCUGCGUCUGAAGCUAAACCUGCUGAAGAUAUUCCAGAUGCAUCAGCCGAUGAAGAAGAAGUCCCACAAGUUGCUACUCCCCUGUCCCACCAAGAAGCGGUUCUCGAGGAGAACGUGAUUGUGACCGACCCUCCAGCUCCUCAAGUGGAGGCUGAAAAUCUUGAGGCUGCCACCACCAAUACCAUUGAAGCCACUGACGCUGUCAUGGCUGAAGCUAAUGUAGAGCCCUCACCACCAAAAGCACCAGAAGUUAGCGAAGCCACUGAUCCCACUGCUUUUGUUCCUGCGUCUGCUGCCGGUCCCCAGUUCGACUAUCAUGUUGAGCACAGGCCUCAGGUACAGAAGCCAAUCCCAAGAUUGCCCAGGUUCCCAGGUCCUGCAUCAGCACCUGGCUCCUUUAAUAUCAAUGGCUUCAGAGCAGACAACACAUUCUUCAAUAGCUCCAGGAACCCCUACUCAAGGGAAAGAAUAUCAUUUGAUCGGUUCUGGAGCUAUCCGCAGCGAAGCUAUUACUCAUGUGUUCUUUACAACCAAGGUCGCAUCUUCCCACACAAGCGCCUUGACAUUGAAGCAAUAGCUGGUCUGCCCUGUCUGGAAGAAGCUCUGGAUUGCUUCAAAGAGGUUGGACUGCUGCCGUUCGUCACUGACCAAGAGCAUUGGAAUGAAGAGUUGCUGCUCCAAUUCUAUGCCACACUUCACAUCCGCGGGUAUAACAGAGAUCCGAAGACUUGGGUCCUGGAGUGGAUGACAGGAAACGUUCAUCACGAAGCCAAAGCCUUUGACAUCAUUGAGCUCACUAGUUUGCCCACUCCUGGUGAUCUCUACGAGCAUGGCUGUCAGCUUCAUAGUGAAGCUGUUGAGAGCAUCUUUCAGAAGACUGAACCUAAUAUGAGUCAGAUGCUCAGUAUGAUGAAGCCAUUGCCCCAAGAUGCUGCUUAUCCCACGGAGUUCUUUGUUGAAGACCUUGAGUAUCUGCCAAGGACCAUUUAUCACAUCAUAAGGCGAACUCUCUGGCCAAUCAAAGGACAUUCUCCCCAUGCCAAGCUGGAAGGUGCAAUGAAGACUUUGGUCUUCUAUAUUCUUCAUGGAAAAUGCUUCAAUACACAGGAUUUCUUCAUUCGCCAACUUGCUGCAUCAGGCUAUGAUCUGUUUGGCUUGAAGUUCUACGCCCCUUGGGUGAUGCAGCUGAUCAAACUUCACUCCUCUAUCUCAUAUCAGCCAUCUGCCCGCAAUCAUUGGAUCUUUUUGCCUGAUGUGGAUAUGUCUAUUGAAGCCAUAUAUCCUGAGCCUGCCAAGGAACCUCUAAGUCUUCAGAAUGCAGAGCAUCAAAGUUUUUCUCAGAACGUUGAAGGCGUUGAAGCAGUAACUCGUGUGUAUCGUUUGGCUGGCACUACACGUGCACCGCAUCCUGCUCUCACUGAAGCCACUGAUAGCACCAUUGCCCAACGACCCAAGAAGUGCACUCGUGUUCUCAAUGAUUGAGAUCUUCUGGUGGCUCUUCAUCAGAAACAGGAUAGGCAUCAUGACUGGCCGAAGCGUCAAAUGCAAAGUCUCUUGGUGGAUGUUAAUCGCAUUCGCAAUCUUCUUCACUGAGCGAUUCAAGUUUGACUCCACACCUCCUCGAAGGGCAGUGCUGCGACGAACUCCAUCACUUGAAGACUCUGAGUUCUCUUCCUCUGCUGCAACUGUGAAUGCCAGAGUGAUCGAGGAUGAAGACGAUGCUACUUCACCGCCACUUCCUUCAGCACGCGUCGACACUGCUCCAAGUUCUUCUGCACCGCCAAACACCACUGACGACCCUGCUGCUUCACCUACUCUUCAUGGGAAUGAGUAGAUGCUCUAUGUCUUUCAACCUUUUUGGUCCUUACUGACAAAAGGGGGAGAAGCAUAUGAGUUUGAUAGUCUUCAAGCGGGUCCAUAUAGGCGGGUUGCUUUAUAUUUUGCUUCGUGCUUACAACUCUCAUUUUGAUACAUUUGGUUCUUUGAGUUGUAACACUUAAACUUGAUGGUCGUCUGCUACUUAUUUGCCACCUUGCGUUGCGAUGAUAAAUUCCGCAUGGGCGACGAUAAAUUCCGCACUUAGAUCAUUGUGCAGACGUCCAUUUUCCAUUAUGCAUGUCAUUAUCUUCACAUACUUUCACAUGCAUAGUGGAUUGUCAUCAUAAGUUGAAGUGGAUCUCCACAAGCACAACUUGCCAUGUGCAUUUGCAUUCCAAAACCAAAUUACUUAUAUGCACAUCUUCAGGGGGAGCCCUUGCAACUUAUGAAGGCAAUUCCUUAUCCUUUACAAUUUCACAUAUUAUAUUCCCCGUUGAAAACUUCAACUAGUUUGUCAUCAAUCACCAAAAAGGGGGAGAUUUUAAGUGCAUCUAGUGCCACCCCUAGUUGGUUUUGGAGUAUUGACGACAAACCUAGUUGAGGGACUAAUGUGUUUGUGAGAAUUGUAGGAUAACACAGGUAGAAGUCCCUCAUUGAUUCGGUUUUCCUACCAGAGAUGACCCCUAAAAAUGUAUGAAGAUAUUGAUGUCAAAGGUGGUAUAUGAAGAUAUUCACAUUGAAGACUAUGACAAGAGAAGACACCGCAUGAAGCCUAUGGAGUUCGAAGACUUAGAUCUUUUGUAGUUCUUUUUCUUCUGUGUUGAGUCAUAGGAACCACCGUACUGUUAAGUGGGGUCCAAGAGAACCAGUCAGAAUGACUGAAGUGAUGCUUAAACAAAACCUAUGUCUUUGAGUGAAGACUAUGAGAGCGAAUCUUGUCCAGAGUCGGACAAGUCAGCUUUGCUUGUAGCCCAAGUAAAGUUGCCGUGUGAGUUUGAAAUCUGACCGUUGGAACACGUGUCAGUUCCUUAGUGACCCAGGGUCAUUUCGGACAAAUCAGGUCGGGUUGCCUAGUGGCUAUAAAUAGCCCACCCCCUACAACCAUAAACGGUUGGUUGCUCAGAUUCAGAGUACGGCUUUUGUCGUUUGAGAGCAACCCACCUCGAAGCCUUUGAGAGAGAAUUCCUUGCGAGGAUAAAGCCCUAACCACCCAGAGCCAAAGAGAAUUAGGCAUCACUUAAGUCUUCUUGUCUGUGUGAUCUGAAGACUUAUUACACUUGAGGACUAUGCAUCCUCCAGCCGGUUAGGCGUCGCGUUCUGAGCAUCCAAGAGACAUUGUGGAUCGCCGGUGAACGAAGUCUGUGAAGGUUUGGGAGUCUACCUUGAAGACUUACCAGAGUGAUUGGGCGAGGUCUGUGUGACCUUAGCUCAAGGGGAAUACGGUGAGGACUGGGUGUCCUGAGCUGCGUGUUCAGGACUGGGUGUCCGGGACUGUGUGUCCUUAGGUUUAAAUACCUAGCCACCCUAACCAGACGUACAGUUGUCACAGCAACUGGAACUAGUCCAACAAAUCAUUGUCUUCAACGAGUCACUGGUUUCAUCCUUCCCUUCUCCUUACUUACUGUUACUCCUUGUGAAGUCAUUGUAUGUAUGCACUAUCUUUUGUCUUCACUGAGUGACUGUGUGAUCUGUUUGGCUUCUUAAUAUCUUCCUACCUGAUCCUUACUACCUAGCUGCUAUUAGUCAUUGUGCUUUCACUUCAUUGAAUACAUGACUAUGGUUUAUCUAGUGUAGUCUACCUUCCGCUGCAUGGUAAUAGGUUUAUUUCUAUCGUUUGUGUUCGAAACUUCCAUGUUUUGAAGACUUUCAUAAAAAUCGCCUAUUCACCCCCUCUAGUCGAUAUAACGCACUUUCACGAGGACAUUUGCAUGAAGCAAUGGAGCCAAUAAAGGAGCAAAACAAAUAACCAAACAUCCCUUAAGAACGGGCACCAGAGAAGCAUGUGCCGAGAUUCUCCGAGCUUGGUCCCAUGGCUUGCGACAACUAGGGUGUGGAAGCGAGAUAUGUGCAUGAUUGCGUAAGCAAUCAAAGAGAAAUUUCAAAGAAUGAAAAGGCAAAAAGGAGGCGAAGAUGUCUCACAUAGGGGGAGGGGUCCUCUCAUCCAUGAUCCCCAUGGGGGAAACUCUAGGUUCUCAUCAUCGGCUAAACUCGAAAGCUACAUAGCUCUUCUAAUCGCCACCAUUGAUACCAUCAUUACAAUCGAGGGCCUACAAUCCAUGGAAAUCCCUAUUCCGAUCUUCUUUGUUCGGCUUUCACAAGCAAGAUACCUUGAAGCAGGUGACAGUCUAUAGCCCAAAAACUACCCAUGGGAUUUCUUUGUCUUUUCCUUAUCUUUUGUCCGGUGAAGAAUCUCCUGCUGCAGAGAUAAGAUGAAUGGCUUCGAGAUACCAUCACUCGCCCUGACCCGAGUCCCCUAGCCUCUCAGCUUCAGCAGUUGUUGUAAGGAGAAGUAGCAGGAUUGUUAGUUUAUGUGCCGAGCAGGCAAAGGCAGAAGUGGAAGGGUCAAACUCCUCUAUCGGGGAAAGACAGGAAGGAUAAAAGUGUAAAAUCACUACUUCCACUGAUUUCUUGCGGGAAGGUUCUAUAAGGGAAGAAGAAUCAGAGCUGAUGAGAAGAGGGCUGAGUCGUCUAGCUUUUAUUCCAAAAUCACGUAUCACCGAUCAGCCUAUUCGAGAGGAGCUGCUUGCCUUGCCCACUUCAAUAAGGAAGACUCCAUCAAUAAAGAAGAGCUUCUUGUUUCCAAGCGGAACUCGAAUGGGCUGCUAGCAGAUUUGUUGGGGAUGGCAAGUUAACACCGUGGCUUCUUCGCGCAAGCACUUGGUUCGCCCCUUACUAUAACCGCCACAAGUCUAGUAUAGAAUCUGCUCUUUAAGGUCGAGAAUCUGCUCUAGAAGGUCGAUGCUUAAAAAAGAGGUGACCCGAAUGAUUUCAAUGAAUUGCUAUUUGGUCAGAUUGGAACAAUUGGAUUCGAAAGUCUCAGCGGCAAGGAAGAGAAAAUGCAUCGAGUCGUUUAUCAAGAAAGUGGACGAGCAUGGUUGAAGCAGUGGAGUGAAGAGGAGGGUUGGGUCCCGCCUCACAACGAGCCCGGGUAGCUAGACCAUUUUAUUAGAUUUUGCCUCUGCUGAUCCUGCUCAUGCUUUUUUUUCUCAAUUGGUAAAGUCUCUCAGCCUUGCGAAGUGGAAAAAGAGAUGGGCAGCUGCUUUGUGAAUUUGAUACUAGGUAGUUCUCCCCCCUCGGCAGGCAAGUAGCCCUAGCCUUUUAUGAGAGUCAAUUGGGAAGUGGAAAGGCAAGAGGCCUUCUAUAUGUUAAGGGAGAGAGGGGAGAGUCAUUCCAGAGUUGGGUGGGAAUCGUUGAUAGAAAUUUGGAUUUUCCCUGAGAUUACGAAAAAUUGGAUCGGAUUUUGCAGUUCUUUUUUCUGCAGUACCUCGACGUGACAUGAGCGUGAAAGAGGUUCAAGAAUCCGUUUUCUAAAUAUAUAAAAGAGGGGGAAUGGAUUCUACAAGAAAAGGCGGGCAAAGGUAGUUCAGGGAUUGCAAUUUUUCUCGCAUUUUAGUUUUUUCACUCAAACUCAAGGGAGAAACUUUGCUUCUUAUCUUUUUUUUUAAAGAUUGACGAAUAAAAUGAUAUUUCUGUCCACAUGCAUGAGUAGGCCUGUUGCUGGGAUGUCCCAUUAAAAAGGCAGGUCCCAUAUUUGAAAUACAAAAAUAAGAUCAGUGCUAUCAAUAAAUAACUAGCUGACAAUAUGCUAUGCUUACUCUCCGAGCACUAAAGCUAUCGAGAAGUAUCUCCAGGUAACUCCAUCUUUUUCAGCUCUGCUCGCUCACUUUUGAAAGGAAGACUUAGUUUUAGAUCGGCGUUGGUUUUUCCAGAAUCAGUCCGUCCGGUUAAGCAUUGGGGAGCUGAUAGGUCGAACGGAGUGGUGCCAGAGCUCUAAAGUGGCUCUAAAUAUCCAUUUCUUUGAUUUUCCUGUGUGCUUUUUAGGCGGCAUCAUCUAAGUUCGAGAACUUUGGAUACUUAAAGGCUGCAGCACAUGCUAAGUGUUGACUGAGAUUCUUUUUUUCCGACAGGGAAGCCAUGCUCCAUCCUGUUUCUAAAAAGAACAUCACCUCCCUUUUUGGUUAGAUACCGCUCCGUUAGGUACUAAUGCUUCUACCUAUCACCCGGAGGGUGAGUUUGAGAGCUGUGUUUUUUUCCAACGUUAAUAGCAUUCCGCGAGAAAAGUCAUCUACUGAUGUUGUCAGCGGAGUCCCUCGUCCAUCCAUGUAUGAAUAGCGAAUCCCGAAGGGGAGGCUCUAGUUGCCAAGUAAGAAAAGAUCUCGGUAGUUCAAUUCAUGCAUGUGAAAGCUUAUCUGCCAGAUACAGAUGAUACUUGCCACUACUUGACCGAAACUGGGACUUGUUGUGAUAAUAGGCCGGCCAGUCCGGAACGUAGAGCAGAUCUAUCAGAGAACAGGGAGCAGGAAAUUCUUGCUCGUGCCGGCCUGUAUUCGGAGUUUCUUGGAUUUGCGGUGCCUGAAUGCCUUUCUCCUUCUUUUUGGUGACGUCGGAUGCCCGCCUUUGGUGCUCAGAAGUGGAUUCUCCUUCAAAGAGGGCCGGAAUUCGACCCGCUAUUAAUGUGGGUAUUUUAGUUUCCAGAGUAGGAUCCGUGGCUCAAAUUAAAGCCAUGAAACAAGUAGCUGGCAAAUCCAAAUUGGAACUAGCUCAAUUCGCAGAGUGACAAGCCUAUUAUUCGCCUCUGCUCUCGAUAAAACAAGUAUGCUUUAGCGAGUGAACUAGGUUUUUAUUUGAGAGCGAACUAGGUUUUUAGUGGUAUUCCUUCUCAGUCAUCCUUGUUUUGGUACCGGAUUCAACUUGUCGAGGCUUCUGCUCGUAACGUCACUCACUGGAUCAAAUCAAAGGGCUCGGUUUCUGCUCCUCGGCAAAGGCAAAGUCAAUUCAAUAGGAAUCCGAAUUUGGGCGACGGAAUGUGUUUUACAAUAAGUUCCAACGUUUGAGUAAUUGAACUUGCUUCUUCACUUAAUGCUUGCUUUCCGUCUUGCCUUUGCCGGAGGGAUCUCUCUAUGAAUGGAAAAGGGGUGCUUCGGAUCGGGAGUAACCACUUUAGAAAGGGCAAAGGGGGGAAGGACAUAGGAAAGAGGGAUGCCUAGUCUGAAUUUGAAACGCAAUCCGGCAGAGAAAAGAAACUUAAGUAACCACCAGUUGAAACUGAGCGAGGAUGCCUCUCCUAAUGGAAGUUACGGGCCCAAACCGGGUUAUGAGCUCAACGAAAAAAAAA
rnacentral:lncRNA from 1 species